rnacentral:rRNA from 1 species
GUGCCAGCCGCCGCGGUAAUACCGGCAGCUCGAGUGAUGACCGAUUUUAUUGGGCCUAAAGCGUUCGUAGCCGGCCGGGCAAGUUCGUCGGGAAAUCUACCAGCUUAACUGGUAGGCGUCCGGCGAAAACUGCUCGGCUUGGGACAGGGAGACUCGAAGAGUACGUCCGGGGUAGGAGUGAAAUCCUGUAAUCCUGGACGGACUACCGAUGGCGAAAGCACUUCGAGAGAACUGAUCCGACGGUCAGGAACGAAAGCUGGGGUCUCGAACCGGAUUAGAUACCCUGGUAGUCC